GACGAACGCUGGCGGCGUGCUUAACACAUGCAAGUCGAACGGUGACCCCGCGUCGGUGGGGGAUCAGUGGCGUACGGGUGAGUAACACGUGGGCAACCUGCCCUCAGCUCUGGGAUAGCUCUAAGAAUUUGGGGCUAAUACUGGAUAUGACCGAUGUACGCCCGGUCUGUGGGUGGGCGGAUUUAUCGGCUGGGGAUGGGCUCGCGGCCUAUCAGCUUGUUGGUGGGGUAGUGGCCUACCAAGGCGACGACGGGUAGCCGGCCUGAGAGGGGGCCCGGCCACGCUGGGACUGAGACGCGACCCGGACUCCAACGGGAGGCAGCGGAGGGGAAUAGUGCGCAAGGGGCGAAAGCCUGACGCAGCGACGCCGCGUGGGGGAUGACGGCCUGCGGGUAGGAUACCACUGUCAGCAGGGACGAAGCGAAAGUGACGGUACCUGCAGAAUAAGCACCGGCCAACUACGUG
rnacentral:rRNA from 1 species